GCUCACUUUGGCAAUCAUAACCUAAAAUUGGAAUGGUACAGAGAUUAGCAUGGUCCCUGCACAAGAAUGACUUGCAAAUUUGUGAAGCAUCUGCAUUUGUA
rnacentral:snRNA from 1 species